rnacentral:rRNA from 1 species
AAAUGAAUUGACGGGGGCCCGCACAAGCGGUGGAGCAUGUGGUUUAAUUCGAUGCAACGCGAAGAACCUUACCUGGCCUUGACAUAGUAGAAACUUUCCAGAGAUGGAUUGGUGCCUUCGGGAAUCUACAUACAGGUGCUGCAUGGCUGUCGUCAGCUCGUGUCGUGAGAUGUUGGGUUAAGUCCCGCAACGAGCGCAACCCUUUUCCUUACUUGCCAGCAUUUCGGAUGGGAACUUUAAGGAUACUGCCAGUGACAAACUGGAGGAAGGCGGGGACGACGUCAAGUCAUCAUGGCCCUUACGGCCAGGGCUACACACGUGCUACAAUGGUCGGUACAAAGGGUUGCUACACAGCGAUGUGAUGCUAAUCUCAAAAAGCCGAUCGUAGUCCGGAUCGCAGUCUGCAACUCGACUGCGUGAAGUCGGAAUCGCUAGUAAUCGCGGAUCAGAAUGCCGCGGUGAAUACGUUCCCGGGCCUUGUACACACCGCCCGU